AACUUUCGACAAUGGAUCUCUUGGCUCUCGCAUCGAUGAAGAACGCAGCGAAAAGCGAUACGUAAUGUGAAUUGCAGAAUUCAGUGAAUCAUCGAAUCUUUGAACGCACCUUGCGCCCCUUGGUAUUCCGAGGGGCACACCCGGUUGAGUGUCGUGAAAAUCUCAACCUUCUCGGUUUCUUCUGGACACCGAAGGAGGCUUGGACUUUGCCGGCCUUUACUGGCGUCUCUCGCCAGCUCCUCUCAUAUGAAUUAGUGGGGUCCUCUUUGCCGACCAUCGACGGGUGAUAAGAUGCUUCCAUGUCUUGGUUUUUGGCUCUGUUGCCUUUGGGACCCGCGUCUAACCGUCGCAACGAGACAACGUUCGAGCGUGUCGAACACUCUUGAUCCUACGAACCCUUGACCUCAAAUCGGGUGAGACUACCCGCUGAACUUAAGCAUAUCAAUAAGCGGAGGCU
rnacentral:misc_RNA from 1 species